rnacentral:rRNA from 1 species
GAUGAACGCUAGCGGCAGGCUUAACACAUGCAAGUCGAGGGGUAUUGGUUUUCGGACCAAGAGACCGGCGCACGGGUGCGUAACGCGUAUGCAAUCUACCUUUCACAGAGGGAUAGCCCAGAGAAAUUUGGAUUAAUACCUCAUAGCAUAAUGAGUUGGCAUCAACACAUUAUUAAAGUCACAACGGUGAAAGAUGAGCAUGCGUCCCAUUAGCUAGUUGGUAUGGUAACGGCAUACCAAGGCUACGAUGGGUAGGGGUCCUGAGAGGGAGAUCCCCCACACUGGUACUGAGACACGGACCAGACUCCUACGGGUGGCUG